GAUGAACGCUGGCGGCGUGCCUAAUACAUGCAAGUCGAGCGAACAGACGAGGAGCUUGCUCCUCUGACGUUAGCGGCGGACGGGUGAGUAACACGUGGAUAACCUACCUAUAAGACUGGGAUAACUUCGGGAAACCGGAGCUAAUACCGGAUAAUAUAUUGAACCGCAUGGUUCAAUAGUGAAAGACGGUUUUGCUGUCACUUAUAGAUGGAUCCGCGCCGCAUUAGCUAGUUGGUAAGGUAACGGCUUACCAAGGCAACGAUGCGUAGCCGACCUGAGAGGGUGAUCGGCCACACUGGAACUGAGACACGGUCCAGACUCCUACGGGAGGCAGCAGUAGGGAAUCUUCCGCAAUGGGCGAAAGCCUGACGGAGCAACGCCGCGUGAGUGAUGAAGGUCUUCGGAUCGUAAAACUCUGUUAGUAGGGAAGAACAAAUGUGUAUGUAACUAUGCACGUCUUGACGGUACCUAAUCAGAAAGCCACGGCUAACUACGUG
rnacentral:rRNA from 1 species